rnacentral:lncRNA from 1 species
AUGACCAAGAAGCACGAGGUGCUGGGGCUCAGCCCUCUAGCUGGGACAGGCGGCUUCCAGCGAUGGCUCUGCCACCUACAGCCUUGUGAGCUCAAGAGGCAGGGACUGUUCUGGCAGCUGCCAGCCGGUUCACGUCCACGAGCCCUCCUCCUCACCAUCAGCGUGCCCCAACGGGGAGCUGGAGGCCCGAGUGCCGGGAAGUCAGCUGCCUCGGAACUGGGCAGCCUGGCCCUCACCCAGGAACCCUCAGAGGACAUGGUGACACCUCCCUCUGUCCCUGUGGAAGCUGCCCCCAGCGCCCCCGCCCCUGCCCUAUGCCAGCUGAACUGGAUGGAGCAGUUGGAAAAUAAAGGCUGAGCGGUGUUGAAAAGCAUCCAAUUGUGUCUACAGUGUGGCAGAUGUCCGCACCGCCUCGCACAGAAGGAGAGUCAGGGUGCGGCUCUCUGGCAGUGGGCGCCUGCGAGGAGCCCAGUGUAUUUAAAAAGUCCCGUCCAGGUGGGACUGGGACCCAGCAGACACCUGCUCCCCCACCGCAGAGUCCUUUCUUUCCCAUCGCAGUCUUCCAGCAGCUCCCACUGCUCUAGGAUAAAGGCCCACUGCUCGCCAGAGCUCCUGAUCCCCCACCUCCUGCUCCCCCGGCCUCCACGUUCCAGCCACGCGCACCUUCUUCUGCCUUCUAGAACACGAUGCACUCAUUUCUGCCAAAGGGUCUCUGGGUCUGCUGUUCCCUGUGGGGAGAGCUUGUCCCCAGAUCUUUUACCCGUAAGAGCCCUUCCUGAUUUAUAAUAACUUCCCCCACAGCCACCCUUCCUGCUCCCUUCCUUCCCCUGCUCUCUGUGUUUUAUUUCUGUGCCGCCGUCUGCGCCCUCCAGACGGGUCCUCGUGGCCCCAGCUCAGCCAGCCCCCAGGCAGAGACACGUUGCUGGCAGUCUGGAGCCUCGGUUCAUCCCUUCCUGUCCCACUGGCUCGCUGCCUCCUCGUGGAGCUCAAGAUGUCAUCUGGCAGCUCCAAGCUGAGCAAGAGCUGGGCUCUCCCCAUGACUCCUACCAGCUGGCCCAGCAGGCCCUGACCUCUGCCCUGCACAGCCCUGCAGAGACUCAAACGCCGAGGCCAGGCGCUCGGCCUUCACUGCAGGUGGACGUUGUUCUUGCCCUGCUGGUGGCUAUGGCCCCUUCCUGGGGUAAUUUCCAUUGGAGGAACACCCUCCCCACUUUCAAUCCAAGUGGUUCAAGUGGGGCUGUCCCAUGGCCUCCCCAGUCUCAAGGUGAGCCUGUGGUGAGCCCAGCCAAUCAGAGGUUUCCUUUCCCUGGAUAUAAGGAUCAGCUCCUGGAUGGUGUGUGAUGCAAGCUGAGGCCCA